rnacentral:rRNA from 1 species
UACAGAGGGUGCAAGCGUUAUUCGGAUUUACUGGGCGUAAAGGGCGCGUAGGCGGCUUCGUAAGCUUAAUGUGAAAUCCCAGGGCUCAACUCUGGAAGUGCAUUGAAUACUGCGAGGCUAGAGUGUUGGAGGGGUGGGUGGAAUUCCUGGUGUAGAGGUGAAAUUCGUAGAUAUCAGGAGGAACAUCAGCGGCGAAGGCGGCCCACUGGACAACAACUGACGCUGAGGCGCGAAAGCGUGGGGAGCAAACAGG